ensembl:lncRNA
GGGGGUACCAGUAAUGAGUAAUGAUAACAUGGCUUUAUACUGGGGGUCCCAGUACUGAGUAAUGAUAACAUGGCUUUAUACAGGGGUACCAGUACUGAGUAAUGAUAACAUGGCUUUAUACAGGGUACCAGUACUGAGUAAUGAUAACAUGGCUUUAUACAGGGGGUACCAGUACUGAGUAAUGAUAACAUGGCUUUAUACAGGGGGUACCAGUACUGAGUAAUGAUAACAUGGCUUUAUACAGGGGGUACCAGUAAUGAGUAAUGAUAACAUGGCUUUAUACACAGGGUACCAGUACUGAGUAAUGAUAACAUGGCUUUAUAC